UUCAACAACCUAUGGGGAGAUGUUGGGAAUCGCCCUGCCUGGUUUCGGAAGCUGUAACCCAGCCAUGACUAAGGCUGAGUGAGCGACCUUCAGACCACAAGCCACUAAGGAGACAAAGCUUAUCUCCCUGGCAGGAGCACUGCUUCUGCUCAUUUUACUUCGUCCAUAACUGGCCC